UGGGGAAUAUUGGACAAUGGGCGGAAGCCUGAUCCAGCAACGCCGCGUGAGGGAUGACGGCCUUCGGGUUGUAAACCUCUUUCAGCACAGACGAAGUCGCACUUUUUGGUGUGGUGACGGUAUGUGCAGAAGAAGCACCGGCCAACUACGUGCCAGCAGCCGCGGUAAUACGUAGGGUGCGAGCGUUGUCCGGAAUUAUUGGGCGUAAAGGGCUCGUAGGCGGUUUGUCGCGUCGGGAGUGAAAACCUCGGGCUUAACUCGGGGCUUGCUUUCGAUACGGGCAGACUGGAGGUAUGCAGGGGAGAACGGAAUUCCUGGUGUAGCGGUGAAAUGCGCAGAUAUCAGGAGGAACACCGGUGGCGAAGGCGGUUCUCUGGGCAUUACCUGACGCUGAGGAGCGAAAGUGUGGGGAGCGAACA
rnacentral:rRNA from 1 species